rnacentral:tRNA from 1 species
UCCGGGGUGGUGUAAUUGGUAACACAGAUGGCUCUGGACCAUCUGUUCCUGGUUCGAGUCCAGGCCCCGGAG